rnacentral:rRNA from 1 species
AGAGGAAGUAAAAGUCGUAACAAGGUUUCCGUAGGUGAACCUGCGGAAGGAUCAUUAAUGAAAUUGAAACGCCUUUCGGUCGUGCUGGCUUUUGCAAGUGCACACCGUCUGGUUUCAUCCAACACCCUUGUGCACCUUUGGCCUCGCGUUGUAAUGACGCGGGGAUCUUUACACAAACUCGUAUGUAACAGAAUGUAAAUCUAGUGCGUAAGCACGAAAUGUACAACUUUCAACAACGGAUCUCUUGGCUCUCGCAUCGAUGAAGAACGCAGCGAAAUGCGAUAAGUAAUGUGAAUUGCAGAAUUCAGUGAAUCAUCGAAUCUUUGAACGCACCUUGCACCCUUUGGUAUUCCGAAGGGUAUGCCCGUUUGAGUGUCAUUGUAAUCUCACACCCCUAGAUUUAUUCGAAGGGCGGUGGACUUGGACGCUGCUGCGUUAAGCGGCUCGUCUUAAAUGCAUUAGUGCAACUUUCGGUUGGACAUAGUACAGCGUGAUAAGUAUCUUCGCUGGCUCUCCUCACGGAGGUGUUCGAACGUUAAGCUCUGUGCUUCUAAUCGUCCCUCGUGGACUAAGCUUCGGCUUAUUUGACAACUUGACCUCAAAUCGGGUAGGACUACCCGCUGAACUUAAGCAUAUCAAUAAGCGGAGGAAAAGAAACUAACAAGGAUUCCCCUAGUAACGGCGAGUGAAGAGGGAAGAGCUCAAAUUUUGAAUCUGGCGUCUUCGGCGUCCGAGUUGUAAUCUAAAGAAGUGUUUUCCGCGAUGGACCGUGCACAAGUCUCCUGGAACGGUGCGUCAUAGAGGGUGAGAAUCCCGUUUAUGGCACGGACUACCAUUGCUCUGUGAUACACUCUCGACGAGUCGAGUUGUUUGGGAAUGCAGCUCAAAAUGGGUGGUAAAUUCCAUCUAAAGCUAAAUAUUGGCGAGAGACCGAUAGCGAACAAGUACCGUGAGGGAAAGAUGAAAAGCACUUUGGAAAGAGAGUGAAACAGUACGUGAAAUUGUUGAAAGGGAAACGCUUGAAGUCAGUCGCGCUCAUUUGGAUUCAUCCUGGCUUUUGCCUGGUUUACUUCCUUGUGGGCGGGUCAACGUCAGUUUUGACCGGAGGAAAAAGCUUAGAGAAAUGUGGCAGCUUGCUGUGUUAUAGUCUCUUAGUGUAUACUUCGGUUGGGACUGAGGACCGCAGCGCGCCUUACGGCCGGGGUUCGCCCACGUACGCGCUUAGGAUGUUGGCAUAAUGGCUUUAAGCGACCCGUCUUG